rnacentral:ncRNA from 1 species
GGGUGACUGUAAACGUGAUUAGCAGCCUCAACUGGAAACGGUUGAGUGAGAAGCGAGUAAAUUCAGGGGAAUCCCCCGCCACAGUUCGUUGGCGGGGGGCUAUCCUGAGCCAAGCCAUGCGAGCAGAUUCCGAACUCCUCGCACGGAAGGUGCAGAGACUAGACACUCGCCACCUACCGGCGCUGUCGUGAUGGCGCCCACGGUGAAGGGAUAGUCCUACCCCCUCGGUAACGAGGGA